rnacentral:rRNA from 1 species
AACGAACGCUGGCGGCAGGCUUAACACAUGCAAGUCGAACGGAUGUAGCAAUACAUUAGUGGCGCACGGGAGAGUAACGCGUGGGAACCUACCCUUUGGUCUGGGAUAACGUCGGGAAACUUACGCUAAUACCGGAUAAUCUCUAUGGGGAAAAGAUUUAUUGCCGAAGGAUGGGCCCGCGUUGGAUUAGCUAGUUGGUGAGGUAAGGGCCCACCAAGGCUACGCUCUAUAGCUGAUCUGAGAGGAUGAUCAGCCUCAUUGGGACUGAGACACGGCCCAAACUCCUACGGGAGGCAGCAGUGGGGAAUAGUGGACAAUGGGGGAAACCCUGAUCCAGCCAUGCCGCGUGAGUGAUGAAGGCCUUCGGGUUGUAAAGCUCUUUUGGUAGGGACGAUGAUGACGGUACCUACAGAAUAAGCUCCGGCUAACUUCGUGCCAGCCGCCGCAGUAA